rnacentral:rRNA from 1 species
UACGAAGGGGGCUAGCGUUGUUCGGAUUUACUGGGCGUAAAGGGCGCGCAGGCGGAUUUUUAAGUCGGGGGUGAAAUCCCGGAGCUCAACUCCGGACCUGCCUUCGAUCCUGAAAGUCUGGAGCACGGCAGAGGUGAGUGGAAAUCCGAUGGUAGAGGUGAAAUUCGUAGAUAUUCGGAGGAACACCAGUGGCGAACGCGGCUCACUGGACCGUUGCUGACGCUGAGGCGCGAGCGCGUCGGCAGGAAUCAGG